AUUGAACGCUGGCGGCAGGCCUAACACAUGCAAGUCGAGCGGAUGAAGGGAGCUUGCUCCUGGAUUCAGCGGCGGGCGGGUGAGUAAUGCCUAGGAAUCUGCCUGGUAGUGGGGGAUAACGUCCGGAAACGGGCGCUAAUACCGCAUACGUCCUGAGGGAGAAAGUGGGGGAUCUUCGGACCUCACGCUAUCAGAUGAGCCUAGGUCGGAUUAGCUAAUUGGUGGGGUAAAGGCCUACCAAGGCGACGAUCCGUAACUGGUCUGAGAGGAUGAUCAGUCACACUGGAACUGAGACACGGUCCAGACUCCUACGGGAGGCAGCAGUGGGGAAUAUUGGACAAUGGGCGAAAGCCUGAUCCAGCCAUGCCGCGUGUGUGAAGAAGGUCUUCGGAUUGUAAAGCACUUUAAGUUGGGAGGAAGGGCAGUAAGUUAAUACCUUGCUGUUUUGACGUUACCAACAGAAUAAGCACCGGCUAACUUCGUG
rnacentral:rRNA from 1 species